rnacentral:rRNA from 1 species
GACGAACGCUGGCGGCGUGCUUAACACAUGCAAGUCGAACGGUGAAGCGCCUUCCUUUUUGGUGGGUGUGGAUGAGUGGCGAACGGGUGAGUAACACGUGAGUAACCUGCCCCCUUCUUCUGGAUAACCGCAUGAAAGUGUGGCUAAUACGGGAUAUUCUGGGUCUGUCGCAUGAUGGGUCUGGGAAAGAUAUUGUUUCGGUGGGGGAUGGGCUCGCGGCCUAUCAGCUUGUUGGUGGGGUGAUGGCCUACCAAGGCGGUGACGGGUAGCCGGCCUGAGAGGGUGGACGGUCACACUGGGACUGAGACACGGCCCAGACUCCUACGGGAGGCAGCAGUGGGGAAUAUUGCACAAUGGGCGCAAGCCUGAUGCAGCGACGCCGCGUGAGGGAUGGAGGCCUUCGGGUUGUGAACCUCUUUCGCCAGUGAAGCAGGCCUGCCUCGUUUGUGGGUGGGGUGACGGUAGCUGGAUAAGAAGCGCCGGCUAACUACGUG